UGAAAUCUACGACCUAUACCACUCGGAACCGUAACCAUAACCCGUUAAAAUGCUGUUUAUCAUUUACCGCUACACCUGCGAUCUAUUUAUCUUUUGUCUACUUAUAUUUAAAUCUAAUUUCGUCUCAUAAGAUUUAUACCUUCGCUGAUAAUGUAAAUGGAAUGAAAAUUAUUUCGAUUUAGCGAGCCCGAAAACUCAAACCAGCUGAAGAUGAAGGGGAAUUAAUGCACCUUGUUGAACUGAACGAAUUCUCUGAUCUUGGCAGAUAUGUUAUUUUGAAACCAUCUGUAAAGGCUAUUUAUGUUCUUUUACUUCAACACCAUCUUGGAAUUGGCGAUGAGGAAACAGUGUUUUGAAAGCCUCUCUGCUGUUACAAACGCCAUCUUAGGUAAUUUUAUAGACUUAGAAUUUUAAAAUUUGUAAUAAGACUUUACUUUUUCGUGAGUCACUAUCUUGCAAUAAAAUUAUCAGUUAUUCCUUAAAUUAACUACCCUGGUCCUUCCUGUUUUAUUUUGCUUAGUUUGUAUUCUGAACUCUAAUACAUUUACAGCAUUGUAUGUUUCAAAGUUCAAAAGUUAGCCGCUCUUAAGGUUUUGUAAUGUUUUUCAUGGCAUCUUUUCUCAACCAUGGCAUCUUCUUCUAGUUAUCAGGGUUUGUUGAUUUAAAUCAGCUUGAUUUAUUACAUGAUUUAAAUCAAAUGAUUUU